UUUUCCUGCCUUUUUUGGUUGCUGCUUUAUUUUCUUCAAUUGGCAUAAAAAUAAUAUUUAUUGUUUAAUGACUGCAAUUGCUUCAUCCUUUAAUUAUCUUUGAUCCUGUGCCACAAAAUGUAUUUAAUUUAUGGCAAAGAACUUUGAGCCCUUCUGAUUUAGUUAAUUGUAACAAUCAAUAACACUGUUUCUAAGCUUUUCCAUUCUGAAGGAUGUAAAUAGCAUGCACUAAGGUUAAACAAAUAUUGUUAGUGGGGAGAGAAAAACUUGUAGCAAUUAUGUAAUAAAAGCAUGACCACUGCAAUAGAAACACAUAAUUAGUGAUUUAAUUACAGACAUCAAAACAAAAUAAAGAUGUCAAUAAAAAAAAAAAAAUCCUGUGACAAACUAAUUCAAUUUCCCUGUUCUGCAAUCCUAGAUCUUCAUGUAUUUCAUUCAGUUUUCUUGUUUUCCAGAAAUGAAGAGCUCAAAACCCAAAGAAGAGACUCGGUGCCAUCCGUUUGGGUGUGACUGUGGCAAGAAUUUGAUGAAUUCCUGGGAUUACUUUCUCACUGGCAGAAUCAGUGCUUUCAUUGCAUCCCACAGUGGAUUUUUUUUAACUCCCCUUUCAAAGGGCCCAGCAGUGCUGAGUGUGCCGUGGUGCCAAUUCCUUUGGGGAGCUGCAGUCACUUGUGUCACGAACCUUCUCAAGGCAUUUUCUAAGUGCACCCAUUUCUGUCUCUGCUUCCCCACUCCUCACAAAGUGCUGUGGAUCAUAAUAGCUCCAGCUCAGCCACUUCUGCUACCCGGAAUAACCAGCCAGAGUGUGAUGUGAAGAGAUCUCAAGUGGCUUUCUCACUUGAAAUCCAGACUUUUACUUUCCUGCAGUUUUUCUUUCAGUUUAUGGGCUUGCGAGUGGGAAUUUGAGGAGGACAGAAGUUGUGCAGUGAAUUAUUUGGGUCAGUAUUAAACAGGUCACCUUUUCAUUUUUAAAAAGUACCUAAAAAUCCUUACAGUGAAGUUCUAAACCCACAGAAGUCAGAAACAAAACUCCCAGCAGCUUCAGUGGGGAUUUCAACCUGUGCUUCCUGCAAGACGCAAGGGGCACACUACAAAUCCAGAUUCACCACUCCUGACAGAAAUCUUCCAUCUUGAGGGCCUGCACCUGAUUCAUCUGAAUUGGAGGCUUAAGCUGCUUUUAACUAUUUCAUGAGAUACAAAACAAAUCCUAGAAAAUGGUUGCUCUGAAGUGCAGCUUAUCAUUCAUGUAAAAUAAUAAUCCAUUUAAAUAAAUUUAGAAUCACUAUUUUCUAUACACAUAUAUAAAACCCCCAGACUCUGUACAAACACCAGAAUUUGUUUUUAAUUAUGUACUUUCUUUUUCCGCUAAAUUUCAGUUCUACAGAAAACAUUCCCUACAGUUUUUGUGAUCAGGGUUUACAGAAAUAUUCAGGAGAGAAUAACCCAUCAUAGUCACAGGUUUAUAUUUCUAAUUCAAGGUUUACCAGUAUUUAAAAACAAAAUGCUAAACCCCAUUGUAGUUCUUUUAUUACUAGAGUGAAGAGUGGUCAGCAGUAGAAAUUACUUAGGAAAUUAUUCUCCUGUAGGAAAAAAAUAUGGCACUGUUAAUAUGCAGAAAUGACUUCAAAGUGCUCUGGGUUGGACCCACAAAUGUCCAGCCUCCAAAGCCCUCUGGGUUAGACCCAAAAAUGUGGCUCUAGGUUAUACACAUAAAGCAAAGUAAAAAAAUUAUACAAUCUGAUAUAUUCCUCUUGCAAUACUUAAGGGAGCUGGAUCAAAAGAGUGGAAGCAUUGACAUUUUUUAUUUCAAUUUCUUUUGAGCGAUCAAAAGACUAUUGACAUGAACAAACCAUCCUGUCAAGUUACAAAGAAAGAACCCUAAAAUCUCUUUUAAAAAAGGUGUCUGUUUUUAAACUUGCACCUAAAAAAAAAUCUGUAAGCUCUGCCUGAUACAAACCUGAAGGUUUUCUCAUUCAAGAUCUUGAAAGACAGACAUCCUUUUUUCAAAGUAUACUUGUACAGCUUAAUGUUUUUAAGCGAAAUUGAGUAAAUCAAAGUUCUUAAAAGCAACACCUUCUUUUGCCUUCUUUGUCACUUUUACAAUUUCUAAUCCUUUUCUUGACAGUAAAAAAACAAUGGAUGGAGACAGCAAAGCUACUUAAGGUGGUAUUCAGCAAUACAUUUGACUUCAAUGAUUUUUUUUUCACUGAACACACUUGAUAUCCUGAAUUUCAGCCAUCUUGCACAUUUAGCUUUUCUUGUUUCAAGGCUAAAUCUGGAUUAAAUCAAUCCCAGGACUUGUUCCUUACAUGUGCAGAGGAGAUCUACAAAUAGAGCCCUUUUCCACCCUGUGCUGUGAAUAAAAAUAAAAUCCCUUCUCUGUGGGUACAUCUUCCACCAUAUUUUGGGGUCUAUAAACUUGUCAAGUAAAAGGAUAGCACAGACAGAUCCUCACAAGCAUAUCUCCAACUCGGCUAAUCUUCCAGCCCAUCACAGGGUUGAAGACAUGGAUGCCAUGACCAAUAUCUAUGUGGCAUCUGCAGAGAAGUGAGCUCCUGCUCCUCUGCAAUCCUGAGGGAGCACUUCCCACUGCACAGCCUCUGCAGAAAUUCACUGAUCCCACUGAACUCUAUGGCCAGGGCCACAAAGAUUCAAUGCCUGUUGCCAGAGGCAAAGGGGAAGCUGCUGGUGCAUCUUCCAGACCUUUUGGCUGCCAUGGAUUGAAGACAUUCCUGCAACACCCUCUGCAGCAUCACUGCGGAGCUUGGAAGCUGAAAGGAAAAGCUAACAGUGUCCUAUAUACUUCCGAAGUUCCUCCUGCCUUUUCCAUGUCAUUCCUUUAGACUAUUAUUGGUCUUUUUAAACAUAUUUGAAUUUAUUUGAUUUUUGCAUUUUCUCCCUCUGCUCCUGUAAUGGAAGGAAUUAAUUGAUAAACCUUUGAAGAGCUCUCUUUCCCACAAUGCAAUUGGCCGUUUUUGCCUCAAAAUAGGAGUCAGACUUCACCAGUCUGAACCUCAGGAUGUGCAUAAAUACUGAAUCUAGAAAAAUCAAGUAGGUGCUUGAAACCACAAAAUAGAAAUGCAUCUCUUUGAACAGAAAUGCAGGAUUUCAGUGCCAAACAGUGAAUGGAUGCACAUCUUCACCCAACCCUUUUAUUUGGUUUUGUGUUUGUAUUUCUUGAAGCACAUAUUUUUGCAACCUACAUUGUAUCAUUUCCAUCCACUCCACAGGAACACAUCAUUAAUGCAGCAAUACUGAAACACUGAAAAUACAUUGGAAAUAUCUGAACUAAAGAGAAUUUAGAAACAGGAGGAAGAGUAAGUAUAUGUGGUGCUUUAGUUUUGCAGACCCAUUUUGGCUUUGUUAUGCUGACUGCAAAUCUUCCUCCAUUUGAUUUACAUCAAAGACAGCAUUUUUAAACCAACUCCACAGAACUAAAGUAGGAAGUUGUGCCAAGUACUUUAUAUUUAAAUUCCUACCCUUGUUUGUCAAUAGUGACAAUUGAUAGCAGACGUCUCAAAACCUCCAUCAUCCUUGAUACUGAUUUGAAACGAUCUUGAUAUCUGACUAUCAAACUUCUAUAAAAAGCAUUCUCAAAGAUUUGAGAGUGAAAGCAAAUGCAAGACACAGCCUUCAACCAGUUGAGACCAUUGACAAAAGUAUGGCCUCUAUGAGCAAGCUAUUUGUUAUUUGCUGCAGAAUUCCACACUGAUUUAUUAAAUUGUGACAACUUCAGCACAAGCUAUGGUACACCUCUAUAAAUAUAUAAAUGAAUAAAUAUGGGGGGGUUCCCCUUAAAGUGAGGCUUUGUGCUUUCUUGUUUUCCAUGGAAGCUGCUUGUGGUCACAUUGAAAUUACUGGGGCCUUCACACUUCAUCCUUCAAACUUCUGGGUUUGUCUUGCGGCAGUUGCAAGGGCAGCCAGCAUGUCUGUGUGAUUCAGCACUGACAAGUGGAGCUGUAGACACCUCAUCAUCCCCCAGGAAUGUCCCCCGUAAGUGAAACCAGAAGAAACUCUCCACAGCCUAUUCAGCCCCAAACCUACCACUACAUGAGCAAGACAGAUGCUCUCAACGUGAGUAACGACAGAGUUCUUGUUCUGCCAAAUGAGCCUUUGUCCUUCCUUAUCAUUCCAACAAGUCAACCUGGGAAACCAUCUGCAAAGCUGAGAACAAGCAGUGUUUUUUUUUUUGUGAAAUAUGUUAAAAAUCACUUCCUCGCAGCUUUGGAAGGAACUAGACAUAUUUAUCACAGUGCUUUCCAGGUAGCCCUUUUUAGGGAUCUACACUUGUGAUUUUCACUUAGACUUUUCAGGCCACAAAAACAGCCAUAACAUCUAAAUUUAGGGAAGCUGUCAGACAUGGAAGUCUGGAGACUUGUAAACGUCCCUGUUUCCCGGUUUGCAUGAAACUCAGAGUCCCCUGCUUCUCGUCCUCAUGGAAAUAACAAGCAGAUACAUUUCUUUGUGCUGUCUUCAGCACAUCUACACCUGAACAUUCCUCGCUGCAACCCAAUGAAAAAGUGCUAACAAAUACAAUUAAAUGUUUUUAGACUCCAAGCACUGUUCAGUACCAGUCCCAGCCAAGCAGUACAGAAAGGUUAAGAAAGAUUUUUGCCCUUACCAUUAUUUUUUGCCCUUUUUUAGCUGACUUUCACAGGAUACACAGUCCAUUGUUGGCUGAUAAAAUUAGAACAUCAGAGAUAGCCUAACUAGAAUGCAAUUUACCACUGUAGUAUUCCAGUAUAUAGAAUUUCUAUUCCUUAAAUAAACAUAUUUCUUUAAAGUGUCAACACAACCAAGAAAUCUGAUCUCCUAGACAAUAUUCCAGGCUUGAUGUAUUUUUAUGGCUCCCCAGUAAUGAAGUUUUAACUCUUGAUAUAUUCCUGCUAUUUAACUGCCAUUUCAACAAAACUAAAAUGAUCCAUUUCCGAAGUUGGCUCAGGCAGAGUCCUGACAUUGUGCAAAGGACUGUGCCCAGGUGCUCUCCCUGGAAGCUCCCACCAUAAUGCUUCACUGACAGGGGAAAGGAGAUGGAAGAAUAAAGAACAUAUUUAAAUGCAUAACACAAUCGAGGCCAUAAAUUUGUUCUACACCAGUUGCACAUGUAAAUAAGGGGCAGUGAGUAACUUUUUUUCCUGUAUUUGCAGUUUGUGGAUGAGUGCCGGUCCUCUGUAAAGCUCCCAUAUGGUGGGAACGGCACUGCUCUGUCAUACUGCAGCAAGUCCCCCUCCUAGCCAUUCCAGAUUUAACCAUGAUAACUUCUAUUCAAAGUUACCACUGCAGAAAGAUAUUUGAAUGAACAACUUCUACCACAUUUAUACUUGUCAUCUGGGAUUAGCUAAUCCCACAUCAACUCUGUACAUAAUAUAUAAUUGCAUAUCAACAAUAUCAGCCUGGAAAUGUGUCUCACUUCUUCCAGCAGUUUCCCAAGUUAAGCAUUUCUGUCCUGCUAAUGAACCCUUUGUUCCACUGAAUAUGAUUCUGCCAGGAAUUUAAUGCAUGUAAAUGUAAUGACAUAAGAGCAUUACAUAACCACUCUCCUACAGGAGUUGAUACAGUACAGAAUAUAAUGAAGCCAGACUAUAAAUGAUGCAUAUACCUGCAAGGGAAAAGGAGCCUUUUUUCAUUUAGUGAAUCUCUAUAAAUAACAACAUGGCAAGAAAUGGUUUCAAGUGCUUCAAAAUGUUUGGGGAAAGGGAUCAAACGAUGUGUUGCUGAAUUGUUAAAUAGAAAGGAGAAAGGAAGCUAAAAGAUUAGAGGGUACUUCCGACUUUCUAAGAAUUUUAAAGUGAAAAGCUGUAACAAAAAUCUAGAAAAAUAUCUACAUUCACCCAUCCUACAUUAGAGAAUGUUCUCACUAUUUAUUCCCUUACAUUUUGGAAUCAAAGGCACCUGCAGCAGGAAUUCAAACAUCCAAGACCAGGUUCUGAAGCUGUUCCCCUCAGAACACUUCCUUUUACAUCAGCUGGCUCAGUAGACUCACACCAGGUAAAUAUUACCUUCUACAAGGGAGGAAAGAAACAACUCUUGUGGCUUUUUAAUGCUCCAAAUACAGGAAACUCAGCAAUCUUUAUAGAAUAACAUCUGAAAUAGAUAUAAUAGAAUAUAAAUAUAUAUAAAAAUUAUAUAUAUUUGCUUAUAUUUAUAGAAUAGAUCUUUAUGGAAUAACAUCUGAAUGAAAUUCUUCCCUCUUUGUCCUUCUCCUUUCCUCCCUUUCACUGCACAGCUACCUUGAAAAAAGCAAAUAAGAGGUAAAGCUGCACCCAGCCAUGAGCUGUAGCAACAGCUUGGGAAACAACUGUCCUCCAAACAAAGAGCCCAUUUGUUUGCAUUUAGAGAAGUGAUUCACUUACAUAAGUCCUGACUUUAUCUAAGAUGAGGCUGUAAUUCCAAGUGCACUUCCUCAAACAUUUUGUGCCUGGGUUAUUUAUGUUAUCCUGAGUAAGAAGUGCUCCUCUUGUUGCAUGUAUAAAUAAAAUAGUGUAUAAGCAGACGCUGAAGUGUCUCUAUUUUGCAUACAACCUCCUCCCUAUUUUCCCGACUUUGUGUUUGACAGAAGGAAUUUCACCUCUGCCCACUCCUUCUCAGGCUGGUAUCAGUGAACUCAAGGCAAGGAAUCCACAGCUGCUGACAUAAAUUGAAUUAUAUUACAGAAAUUCUUUCUGAAUUUUGAAUUUCUUAUAAUUUUUUCUGCAGGAUGAUGCAAAGCAUAUUUCUGAGUAUCAGCAAAAAAAAAAAAAAAUUAUAUAAAAGACGCUUCACUUUUUUUCCUUUUUUAUUUAGCCAGAAUUUAAGCUCAACAUUUGAAAUCUUUGAACAUGACAAGCCAAAACCCUGGAAAUAAGGUUUGCAGAAAAAGUCCGGCUGUAUCACAAAUUAAACCAAACUAGAGCAACAUUAAGGUGUCAUUUAAGACCUCCAAAGUGAGGGAGUUCAGACUGUAGACUCUUACUUUGUGAGAAAGGUGUGUUAGUACAAUCAUUACUCUUUUUUUUCUCCAAAAGCAUUUGAGAAAAGAAGCAAAUAACGUCAUGGAAGUUCUGUUUGGAAUAUAGAGACAGCACAAACUAAUUUGUCAUACAACCUGAUAAACUUUUCACAGCAUUUGAAAGGGAAGGAAAGGAAACAAGUCACCAAACUCUUGGGAUCCAUGUAUAAAUUUGACUUUUUUCACGCAUAUUUCAUUGCCAUGUAACUCUUCCCUCAGUUCAGACUUUGUAAUGUACUGCUAAAAAGUGCAGUAUAGAUUUUCAGAUGCACAGCACUGUACAUGUCAAUUUUAGAAGCAUUUGUAUGCAGGUACCCACCUGCACGUUUUAGGAGCUGCUCACAGGUCCUCUCAUUGGCACAUUUUAGGCACUGGGAACGAUUCCUGCGGGUCCAUUCACACAACAGAUUGAGGCUUUUUUCAGAGGAACUCUUUCCAAAUUACACACAAGACACCAUCUCAUCAGCCCCCAGGGUAGAUUCCACUUGGGCCACAGGUAUUUACAGCUCUUUGAGGUAAUGAAUACCAAAUCAAACCCCAUUUGCACCACGGGCUGAGGUCAUGCAGUUCUGAUCCUGAUAAAAUACAUAAUGUCUGGUAUAAGUAAUUAUUUUGUUGAUUUUAUACCUUAGCCCAUUUUGCUUGUACAUACAGUGUUAAAAGCUAAUAUAUUAUUCAAUAGCUAUAAAGGGCCUUUUUUCUGGUCUUUUCAGUGGUGUUAUUGUCUUUCACAUCCUUUCAGAGCAUUAAGAUGUCACAGAACUUUGCAACAAUUUACUGCUCACACCAACGUGCACUUCACUAAUAUCAUCUGGAUGAGGAAGUGUGCUGGCAAUACUUUAUUAAAAUACAGGCUUUAAGAGCCUGCCAAAAAUGUGGCUAAAACACCAACUGCAAUCAGGGGAGGGACAGAAUGACUGGGUGCAAAAUGGUUUGGUACAAAAUUUCCAGGUAUAUUAUUUUGGAAGUAAGAAACAGUCAGUAAUAUAUCAUAAUAAAAAUAUAGAUUUUAUAUGUUUACUGUCUAGUCCAAAUGAAUCAUGUAAAAACCAAAGUAAAAAUUCCUUGUUAUAGGUGGGUUUGGGUGUUCUUAAUAUAGGGAGAAAACCAGGGGUGCAGCAGCACAGGCUGGGAGGCUUGUGAUUGGCAAUCCUUGUUUCUUCUCCAACAAAAAUAGCAACACCCUAACGCUACGCCUCCCUUUAAGAAAAUGACAAGAAUAUUCUCUACCCUAUGGAAUGUUUGCAUCAAUCAUGUACCUGUGGCUCUCACAGUGAGCUGGACUAUUACAAGAUUGAUGAUAAGCUCAAACACAAUACUUGACCUAAAUACAUUAUGUAGCAGUGGAUGCCUGCUAAGUAGGUCAGCAGGGGCUCUUAAAAGUUAUGCAAAACUUCUUGCUGCCACACAGACGGCAUGUCAUGAGUCAAGAGGGAUGAGAAUCAAUUUUAUAGGCUGCAGGAAAUCUCUUCUCAUCAUAUGAAAAUUGGUUUCGCCAUACUUAAAAUGUCUUAAAUACUGGGAUAUGCUGCUUGUCACAUGUCCUUAGGUCUCUGAGUGAAAUACAAGUGAGGUGGGCAGCCUGUGAGAAGCCUGAGGAUGAUCUGGAGGUUCACAUACAUGGCAGAUUCCUCUUUGAAAAUAAUGGUUCAAAUAAAUAUUUUCCAUUCUCACAGUCAAACAAACUGUGAUUUAUGGGAUGCAUCGGACAAGCUUGUCAAGCCAAGAAAGUCUGUAUUUAGGAGUGAUUAAUCAGAGAUAGCUAUAUUACCGUGUCUGGAUCUUGGAAGCUCUUCAGCAGCAUGGUGGAGAGAGGACAAGUGUCUGGGGACUUGCCUGGCGCGGUCCCCACAUGUGAGGAGUUUGGCCACGCAGCAGGACACAGAUUGCACCUGCCAAAAACAGCUGGGAACUGCUUCCCCAUCCCUUUCUACACACUUUGAGCACUAGGGACUGGACAGGCUUUGGAAAAGUUAAGAACAAAAUGAUCCUUUCUGACUACAAAGCCACUGAGGUCCACUCCGCAUUGAGCCAUCAGCCACCUGGAUGCUCAUGCACAACUGAGUCUCUAAAGGAGGCAAGUCCAGCCUGAUUCAAGUGGCUCAUGUUACGUGACUUGAAACCUUUGCAAUCUCUAAACUGAGCUGAAUGUCUGGCUUUUACCAACUGGGUACCUCUUACAGCAAUAACUGAGCAAACCAUUACUGCCUCAAAAGAGACCACACUGGGCCCACCCUCCAAAUGUGUAAGAAAAGCCAAAAGCCAGAGGAUUUUCAUGGUUCAAAGCCUUGCCCUGUCACCCUGUCAGUCAUUUCCCCUGUACACAGGAACAGGCAUAUCCAUGAUGGUGUGGUGGCACUGCUGAGUGCUACAUGGAACCUCCUUCCUACAAAGAAGCCUCUUGUGUUAGAAGUGAGGACUUGCACAUCACUUACUCUCUGCAUUUC
ensembl:lncRNA